rnacentral:rRNA from 1 species
UAGGGAAUCUUCGGCAAUGGACGAAAGUCUGACCGAGCAACGCCGCGUGAGUGAAGAAGGUUUUCGGAUCGUAAAACUCUGUUGUUAGAGAAGAACAAGGACGUUAGUAACUGAACGUCCCCUGACGGUAUCUAACCAGAAAGCCACGGCUAACUACGUGCCAGCAGCCGCGGUAAUACGUAGGUGGCAAGCGUUGUCCGGAUUUAUUGGGCGCAAAGCGAGCGCAGGCGGUUUCUUAAGUCUGAUGUGAAAGCCCCCGGCUCAACCGGGGAGGGUCAUUGGAAACUGGGAGACGUGAGUGCAGAAGAGGAGAGUGGAAUUCCAUGUGUAGCGGUGAAAUGCGUAGAUAUAUGGAGGAACACCAGUGGCGAAGGCGGCUCUCUGGUCUGUAACUGACGCUGAGGCUCGAAAGCGUGGGGAGCAAACAGG